rnacentral:rRNA from 1 species
GAUGAACGCUGGCGGCGUGCUUAACACAUGCAAGUCGAACGGUGAAGCAGGAGCUUGCUCUUGUGGAUCAGUGGCGAACGGGUGAGUAACACGUGAGCAACCUGCCCCUGACUCUGGGAUAAGCGCUGGAAACGGCGUCUAAUACUGGAUAUGUGAUGUGACCGCAUGGUCUGCAUCUGGAAAGAAUUUCGGUUGGGGGUGGGCUCGCGGCCUAUCAGCUUGUUGGUGAGGUAAUGGCUCACCAAGGCGUCGACGGGUAGCCGGCCUGAGAGGGUGACCGGCCACACUGGGACCGAGACACGGCCCAGACUCCUACGGGAGGCAGCAGUGGGGAAUAUUGCACAAUGGGCGGAAGCCUGAUGCAGCAACGCCGCGUGAGGGAUGACGGCCUUCGGGUUGUAAACCUCUUUUAGCAGGGAAGAAGCGAAAGUGACGGUACCUGCAGAAAAAGCACCGGCUAACUACGUGCCAGCCGCCGCGGUAA